UAAGUAAGUGGUGGAAAUUAAACCAAAUGGGAUUCCUUAAGUAAUUGCGAAUGAACAAGGACAUGCUUAGCUUGACAAUUGGAGCCUCUGGCUUCGACUUGUAUUUUUGAAAUGUAUUACCAACAGAGGUGCAGGUGUCAGCCUAUUGAAAGAAAGCGUCAAUGAGGGUGAGAAUCCUGUUUGUCAUGUGCAAUCCUCUGUGCACGGUGUAUGUUUGCUGAGUCACACUCCUUGGCAUUGGAAUGCAAAGUGGGUGGUAAGUUUCAUGUAAAGGUAAAUAUAGGAUUGAGACUGAUAGCACACAAGUACCAUGAGGGAAAUAUGAAAAGGACUUUGAAAAGAGAAUUAAAUGAGUUUGUAUUUGCUGAACAGAAAAUAAACAGAUUUGAUGUUGCUUGGUGAGAUUGUGGUGCUUGCUUGACAAUAGGUUUUGAUUGUGGGUGUGAUGAUUCUUGCUUUGCUUGCCAGUUUCUAUUUGUACAUUUGAUUACCCUUGCACAUGAAUGGUAAUUUUCCUGCGGGGUUUGGAUUGCAUGUGUUUGUGAUGAUUUGUGUUUUGAUACAUGUGUCUGGUGCUUUUGUAAUUGCUCAUUUCUUGAAGCUGGGCCUACCCUACUAGAGCUUACAAGCCCUGGCACACAAUUGCUGGCAAAAUGCUUCUGCUUGACCCG
rnacentral:rRNA from 1 species